rnacentral:rRNA from 1 species
GGCUCAGAUUGAACGCUAGCGGGAUGCCUUACACAUGCAAGUCGAACGGCAGCACGGACUUCGGUCUGGUGGCGAGUGGCGAACGGGUGAGUAAUGUAUCGGAACGUGCCUAGUAGCGGGGGAUAACUACGCGAAAGCGUAGCUAAUACCGCAUACGCCCUACGGGGGAAAGCAGGGGAUCGCAAGACCUUGCACUAUUAGAGCGGCCGAUAUCGGAUUAGCUAGUUGGUGGGGUAACGGCUCACCAAGGCGACGAUCCGUAGCUGGUUUGAGAGGACGACCAGCCACACUGGGACUGAGACACGGCCCAGACUCCUACGGGAGGCAGCAGUGGGGAAUUUUGGACAAUGGGGGAAACCCUGAUCCAGCCAUCCCGCGUGUGCGAUGAAGGCCUUCGGGUUGUAAAGCACUUUUGGCAGGAAAGAAACGUUCCGGGUUAAUACCCCGGGAAACUGACGGUACCUGCAGAAUAAGCACCGGCUAACUACGUGCCAGCAGCCGCGGUAAUACGUAGGGUGCAAGCGUUAAUCGGAAUUACUGGGCGUAAAGCGUGCGCAGGCGGUUCGGAAAGAAAGAUGUGAAAUCCCAGAGCUUAACUUUGGAACUGCAUUUUUAACUACCGAGCUAGAGUGUGUCAGAGGGAGGUGGAAUUCCGCGUGUAGCAGUGAAAUGCGUAGAUAUGCGGAGGAACACCGAUGGCGAAGGCAGCCUCCUGGGAUAACACUGACGC